GUGGGGAAUAUUGGACAAUGGGCGAAAGCCUGAUCCAGCCAUGCCGCGUGUGUGAAGAAGGUCUUCGGAUUGUAAAGCACUUUAAGUUGGGAGGAAGGGCAGUAAGUUAAUACCUUGCUGUUUUGACGUUACCGACAGAAUAAGCACCGGCUAACUUCGUGCCAGCAGCCGCGGUAAUACGAAGGGUGCAAGCGUUAAUCGGAAUUACUGGGCGUAAAGCGCGCGUAGGUGGUUUUGUAAGUUGGAGGUGAAAUCCCCGGGCUCAAACUGGGAACUGCCUCCAAAACUGCAUGACUAGAGUACGGUAGAGGGUAGUGGAAUUUCCUGUGUAGCGGUGAAAUGCGUAGAUAUAGGAAGGAACACCAGUGGCGAAGGCGACUACCUGGACUGAUACUGACACUGAGGUGCGAAAGCGUGGGGAGCAAACAGGAUUAGAUACCCGGGUAGUCC
rnacentral:rRNA from 1 species